rnacentral:lncRNA from 1 species
UUUGACAUCCUUGCAGGCAAAAAAUGCAUAGCAAUGGAGGAAGUGUUCCCAAGAUGUACUUAAAUUUAUGGCAUUAUGAGGCAACGGCGAUAUUUUAUUCUGCAACCUUACUAACAAGCCAGUUGUAUAUUUCUGAUGCUGAUAUGAUCUGAAUAAACAUCUGUACCGUUCUUGGGAGCAUAUUAUACCCGGGGAUGCCAUUUUUAUAAGUGAAAAUACCGUUCAUUCUUUGCAUACUAUCUAUCUAUAAAAAUUUAUAACAGAGCUUUGUAAUGUUGAAUCGUGCAUCCUGUAAUCGUUGAAUAUAAAAGGAAAAUGUGUGUACAAUAUUUGAUUUGUUGUUAGUAAUAAAAGCAACAGUUUGAGGAUUUGUUCUUGUUCCC